GCCCCCCACCGCUAUUCUGGAUCUUCCUUGCAAGGAGCCCUGGAAGAUCCGAUCAACCUGCCACAAGGUCUUUUCUAAUGAACUUCCUCCCCCGUGAGCGGCCGUCCUCAUUCUCCGUUGGCAGCAGCGUGACUCCCGGCCCUGCCGCUCGCCUUGGAGGCUCCGGCCCCUGCCUCACCUGGACACCGUCUCCGUAGAUGUGGUCACAGGAGCGCCUCAGCCCCGGAUUUGAGAGGAACACAAGGCGAGCGACAGCUGGGACUCAGGGAGCAAGAAAACGCAGUGCAGUGGCGGCUCCUGCCGAGGGGAGCGCGGGGCUCCGGGGGUUGAGGAGUACGUCUCUGCACGAAUCCCGGGAUGCCACGAGUUCCUCGGGCUUCUGGCUUCGACCUCCUGAUUCUUCCCGGCCUUCCGGGACCUCAGCUCCGGAACAGUGAGGCUUCUCCACGCCCUCCUUGCCACCUUCUUGGUCAUCUUCCAGGGAUCGUCGUAGGACUUUGAAUAUUCCUGGUGUCUGCAACCAAGGCUGUCGUAAUCACCUUCAACACGUUCCUCUUGGCUGGAUUACAUAAAUGUGGGAUGAGUCAUCAGUCAUCAUCUUGGGAUAAGAGGGGAAGCACAAAAAUCCUUGAGCCGGUCACUCUGAAGACACUUGACUUCACAGAAAAUGGAGAUUAGUACGCGGGCCUCUCACUGUCGUGAGGCUGUAUGUGUCAACCCAAGAGAAGUGUUUAAAGUCUCUGAUCCCAGCUUCCAAAUUACAGCAUAAAAUUUCGGUGCAUGACAAGCUCUUGAAGACUGGCCUUGUCCUGUCAACAAGCAAGUAGGAGGGACGACAUGAGGAAAAGGAGGUGCGUGAGACAGAAUACUUUCCUGACCAGUACAUUUUGGAGGUUCCUGGUUGGACUGUAUUAUUCCUUCCCCUGUAUAGCGAUCUCAAGACUUUCUUCCAAAAACAGAUAUUUUUGUCCUUUCUACGGGUUGUGGACACAGUAAAAUGCUUAAUUUAUGUGACUUACGUACAAGUGUAUGCCUGAAGAGGAAAAGAAAUCGUAUUCUUCCUAUGCCAGGGAUGUGCCCUGGUAGGAGCUUCUGUUGUAAGAAUGAAGUGAACUGAAGAAUUCACGUUUAAGGGAUCAGCCCUGAAUUAAA